AUGCACCACGCGUACAUUCCGGUUCCUGCGCGCCGUCAGCACUCACUUGACGCCUGCUCGCUCCGUUUUGUCAGCC
rnacentral:sRNA from 1 species